AGGAAAUGUAUCUAAAUAUCUUUAUAUUGUCUUUGGUUCUUUUCUAUUGCUAUAAAACUUUAUGACUUAGGAAAUUUAUAGAAAGCAUUUUAUUUGGGGGCUUACAGUUCCAGAGGACAAGUCCAUGACCAUCAUGGUGGGAAGGGUGGCAGUAGGCAGGCAAACAUGGCACUCAAGCAGUAGCUGAGAGCUUAUAUUUGAUCCACAAGCACGGGGGGGGGGGGGGAGAAAGAGAGCUGGAAAGGGAGAGAAGGGGAGGGAGAGAGAGAGGCAGAGAAAGACACAGAGACAAACAGAGAGAGGAGAGACAGCAACCCACAUACACAAGACUGGGAAUGGUGUGGGCUUUCAAAACUCAAAACCCACCCUCAGUGACACCUCCCUCAACAAUGUCACACCUCCUAGUCCUUCUCAAACAGUUCUAGCAACUGUGGAUCAAGCAUUCAAAUAUACGAGUCUCUAGGGGCCCUUCUUAUUCAAAACACCCAUUCUAUAUAAGGGUUAUAGAAUAGAUAUAUAUGUAUUGAGACCACAGCAGAGUUUGAGAGGCAUUGAAAAAGGACUGGAAGACUGCAGGGGGAAAAAUGAUCCAGAGAGUGCCUGGAGGGAGCUGCUGGAAUCAGGUCUGUGAGCAAAGCUGCGAAGUACAGCUGCUCCGUGAGAGAGUAAACCUGUCCGAAGCAGGAUAUGGGUCAGGAGCAGGAAGCAGGUGACCAAGUCCAGAUCCAGAGGGGUAAACAGAACAGGCGGCAGCCAAGUAGGCCUUGUAACCAGCUGGGGACUGAGGCUAGCUGAAGCUCCAGGUAUCAGACAAUAGGCCAUGAGACCAUGAGACCAUGCUGUCACUUAUGGGGACCUGGUAAGACAGUUACACUCUUUCCUUGGUCAAUGUGUCCAAUAUAGUAUUGCACCUGGUUCUCGUGAAUUUCUGUGAGACAGGGUCUUGCCAUGUAGCUCUGCUGGUCAGAGAUCCACCUGCCUCUACCUCCUGAUGUGAUUUUAAUACUUACAUAUGCCCCUACAGUCUUAAUUCUCCCCAACUCACUUACAGGGUGGCACCCUUUCUAUUCUCAGCCUGUCAGAUGGUACUUCUAGGUCUAUCAGAAACUGCUGCCAUCUCUCCCUCAAAAUGGAGUAAAAAACUGUUUGUAAAGAACGGGAGAAACGGCUCAGCAUUUCUAAGUAUUUGCUGCUUUUCCAGAAGACUGUAACUUAGUUUCCUGCACUCACACCAGGUAGCUCACAACCUCCAACUCCAGUUCAGAGGCUCCAUGUCCUCCUCUGGCCUUCGAAGGCAUCUGUAUGCAUGUGGUACCCCUAUGUACACACAGGCUCACAUACAUUUUUUAAAAAGUUGUUUACACAAUGGAGUCUCCUAGAGCAAGGAACAUCCUAGAAUCCCAGUUUUAUUCUAAAUGGAAUAACCAAGAGUACUGAACCUGACCUUAACAGAAACCACACUUCACAUGUUACCUCUGGCUUUCCCAGAGCUAUUAUCACCUGUAGUAAAGGGAAUGGGUUCUUGUCACUUGGGGACAGGUCUGAGCAGUAUUAGUGUUCUGGAAAGUGCAGACAGAAGUGCUGAGAACCCUGCCUCCUCACAUACAAUUCAUAGAAUUAGCUGUGUGACCUGAACCCACCCAGCAGACCCAAAUCUCAGGCUUCUGAGGUUCCCAGGAGUCACUGGCUCCCUUAGUCACUGGCCUUGCCUCUGCAGCACCUCAGAGGUCCUCCAGGAAGCAGGGCUGCCCAGCACCUUGGAGUCUCCUGUUUGAGGAAAUUUGUCUGGUCUGCUUUCUCCUUGGUGUCCCCAGUCUGCAGACACUCACUACAUUCCACUUCACUCCAUAGGGACAAACUUGUAUUCACGGAGUGUUUUGGAAGGGGGCAAUUUAUCUCUGCAUCCUCAGUUCACUGUUUUAAGGUAACUUAAUAAUACUUGAUUACUAAAGACUUUUGUUUGUAGACAGGGUUUCUCUGCAUAGCCCUGGCUGUCCUGGAACUCACUCUGUAGACCAGGCUGGCCUCAAACUCAGAGAUCCACCUGCCUCUGCCUCCCAAGUGCUGGGAUUAAAGGCGUGCACCACCACUGCCCGACUUGCCACAGACUUUUUAUAAUGGUUACAAAAAUAAUUACUUAUUAAAAAUCGGUGUGGCACAUGCCUUUAAUCUCAGGACAUGAAAGGCAGAUCUUUGUGAGUUCAAGGCCAGCCUAAUCUUCAUACUGAGUUCCAGAGCAGCCAGGACUAUGUAGAGACCUUGCCUCAAAAAAAAAAAAAAAAAAAAAAAAAAAAACAAAAACAACAAAAAUCCAUAGCUGGGCUGGAGAGAUGGCUCAGUGGUUAAGAGCACUGAUUGCUGUUCCAGAAGUUCUGAGUUCAAUUCCCAGCAACUACAUGGUGGCUCAAACCAUCUGUAAUGGAAUCUGAUGUCCUCUUCUGGUGUGUCUGAAGAAAGCUACAGUGUACUCAUAUACAUAAAAUAAACAAAACUGUAGCCUUCUAGUAUAUUU
rnacentral:lncRNA from 1 species